rfam:Myotis lucifugus cont2.19663, whole genome shotgun sequence.
GGCUGUUCUCGGGUGAUGCACCCCAGAAUCAGGCUCCCUCCUCUCUGGUUCUGAGUGCAUCACCUGAGAACCGCA